rnacentral:misc_RNA from 1 species
GAUGAAGAACGUAGCGAAAUGUGAUAAGUAGUGUGAAUUGCAGAAUUCAGUGAAUCAUCGAAUCUUUGAACGCACAUUGCGCCCCCUGGUAUUCCGGGGGGCAUGCCUGUCCGAGCGUCAUUACAACCCUCAAGCUCAGCUUGGUGUUGGGCCCCGCCGCCCCGGCGGGCCCUAAAGUCAGUGGCGGUGCCGUCCGGCUCCGAGCGUAGUAAUUCUUCUCGCUCUGGAGGUCCGGUCGUGUGCUCGCCAGCAACCCCCAAUUUUUUUCAGGUUGACCUCGGAUCAGGUAGGGAUACCCGCUGAACUUAAGCAUAUCAAUAAGCGGAGGA